CCCUGCCGAGGACGAAGAGGAGGAGUCAAUGCACACACGAAGCUUAACCGUCCCGCUUGCUCAAGGGAGACAGCACUGGCGAGCCUACGCAGACAUCAGGGCACCGCGCGCGCUGUGGGGAAAGAGGCGAGAA
rnacentral:lncRNA from 1 species